GUUUGUGCCUCUUUGAAGUAUUUGCACCGCUAUUUGAUAAGUUCCUACGUGGAACGGAACGUUCCACAGCUGUCAAAAUAAUUUUACAGAACCUAUUGUAAUUGUUUAAGGGUUCAUUGACAUCAUACUCGAAAUCCAAAAGUAAUCGAUUAACAGUUUCAGAAUAAAGAUCCCAAUUAACGAGACGUAGGUUUAUACGAUUUAACAAAAGUUUAUUAACUUCAUCUAUAGGAGCAUGUUGUUCACCUGACGGAGUUGAUGAAGAGUUCUUUGUGUUUAUUUUAGUAAAAGUCGGCAGAUGCUGCAACGCUCAGAAUUCUUACAGAAUUUAGCUAAAUGUCCAUACCUCAAGCACCGGUAGCAUUGUUUAACUGGUGGUAUAUAUGGAGUGACAUUGUGGCGCCAACCUCCAAUAUCCAGAUAUUCAGGUAAUACAGAUGCAGCAAAAGUAAUUGUCACGGUUAGAGUUGGCUGUAACACAUAUCCAUGAGUCAAGGUAUUUUUUCUUAAAAUUCUUUUAAUAGCAAUAAUUUUCUUAGAACUCGAUAUCAUAGUAUAUAUUUUUUUAUUAGAUAUAUUUGUAGGUACAUUUCUAAUAACGCCUGUAACUUCUGUUGAAGAAGCAGGAAUACUGGCCUUAAAAUGGUAGUCAUUUAAAAAAGUUUUAUUAUUUAAAAAAGCAUUGGCUAAGUCUGGCUUUUGAAAGUAUACUCCGAUUUUGAAUUUAUUUAUAGAUCUAAGAUAAGUUACCCCUUUAUUAAAUCGUUUUAAACAGGAGGAGAGUGAGAGCAAGUCUCUGGAUCCAAUGGUUUUCUGACUAUCUGAGGAUUCUACAAAGACAACAAAUUCUGUCCCAGGGGAUUCCUCGGGAUAUCUUCUAAUAUAAUCUGUGACGUAGUAAGGUUUAUACUUAUCGGCCUUAUCAAUUUCAGAUUCUGAGUCAGUAGAAGUAUCUUCCGAAUAUAUAUCCUUGUCAUUACAAGGUUCAUGGUCUACAUCACCUGAAUCGUCAUCUUUUUUUUUCCUUUUUCUACAACUGCGCUUCCCCAUGAAUGCUAAUUAUAUUACUGUCGCUGAAUUUAGUGAAAAUAUAAUAUUUUAUUAAAUAAUAAGAAUUGAUAGAGAUAGUUUUAAUAAAUUAAUAAAAAAAAUUUAAAAAA